UUACUUACCUGGCAGGGGAGAUACCAUGAUCACUAAGGUGGUUCUCCCAGGGCGAGGCUCAUCCAUUGCAUUCCGAGUGUGCUGACCCCUGCGAUUUCCCCAAAUGCGGGAAACUUGACUACAUAAUUUGUGUUUGGGACUGCGUUUGCACUCUCCCCUG